GAUUAACGCUGGCGGCGUGCCUAACACAUGCAAGUCGAGCGGCAGCGAGUUUUACACUGAAUUCUGGAAGCUUCUAGUUGAAAGAGAAGAUUUAUUCAAGAAUUUUGUGUAAAAUGUCGGCGAGCGGCGGACGGCUGAGUAACGCGUGGGAACGUACCCCAAAGUGAGGGAUAACGCAUCGAAAGGUGUGCUAAUACCGCAUAUGGUCUUCGGAUUAAAGCCUUCGGGCGCUUUGGGAACGGCCUGCGUAAGAUUAGAUAGUUGGUGGGGUAAUGGCCUACCAAGUCGACGAUCUUUAACUGGUUUGAGAGGAUGAUCAGUCAGACUGGAACUGAGACACGGUCCAGACUCCUACGGGAGGCAGCAGUGAGGAAUCUUCCACAAUGGGCGAAAGCCUGAUGGAGCAACGCCGCGUGCAGGAUGAAGGCCUUCGGGUUGUAAACUGCUUUUAUAAGUGAGGAUUAUGACAGUAACUUAUGAAUAAGGAUCGGCUAACUACGCG
rnacentral:rRNA from 1 species